AGAACGAACGCUGGCGGCAUGCCUAACACAUGCAAGUCGGACGCUUUCGGGGGUUUCGGCCUCCGAGGGAGUGGCGGACGGGUGAGUAGCGCGUGGGAACCUGCCCCUUUGUGGGGGAUAACCGAGGGAAACUUCGGCUAAUACCGCAUGCGCCCGGGGGUAACUCCGGGGAAAGAUUUAUCGCAGAGGGAGGGGCCCGCGUCGGAUUAGGUAGUUGGUGGGGUAACGGCCUACCAAGCCGGUGAUCCGUAGCUGGUCUGAGAGGAUGAUCAGCCACACUGGGACUGAGACACGGCCCAGACUCCUACGGGAGGCAGCAGUGGGGAAUAUUGGACAAUGGGCGCAAGCCUGAUCCAGCAAUGCCGCGUGAGUGAUGACGGCCUUAGGGUUGUAAAGCUCUUUCGCUCGGGACGAUAAUGACGGUACCGAGAUAAGAAGCCCGGCUAACUUCGUGCCAGCAGCCGC
rnacentral:rRNA from 1 species